UACGUAGGGCGCGAGCGUUGUCCGGAAUUAUUGGGCGUAAAGAGCUCGUAGGCGGCCUGUCGCGUCGGCUGUGAAAACCCGGAGCUCAACUCCGGGCCUGCAGUCGAUACGGGCAGACUGGAGUUCGGCAGGGGAGACUGGAAUUCCUGGUGUAGCGGUGAAAUGCGCAGAUAUCAGGAGGAACACCGGUGGCGAAGGCGGGUCUCUGGGCCGAUACUGACGCUGAGGAGCGAAAGCGUGGGGAGCGAACAGG
rnacentral:rRNA from 1 species